GGUGAAUUGGGCACCAGCAUGGGUGGCAGCACGAAGCCCACGGCCACGCCCAGCUGCAAGAAGAAAAGAGAGGGGCGGGAUGUUCGAUGGCAAACAAAGGAAAAUGCCAGCCGACUGAGCAGCUCAGCUCCACACACACAAUAAACUCAGCGGAGCAUUCCUUUUUGGCAAUAGCUUUUGGUUUCCCCACAACAAAGGAAAGGAGAACCAAUGGCGGCCAGGGGAGCGAACUCAAUUCCCACUGACCUUUGCCACUAUCGUGACCAAACAGACACCGAUGCCGGAGCUGCAGGUGGUCCGUGCUUCGGGUUGAGGCCACCAUUUAAUGGAGCACGCAAACAUAAUCAGUUUUCCCGGUGCCAUCUUUACUUAGCAGAUUGCCGUUCCACUUCAUGGAGAAGGGCCGAGAUUAUCCGAGUAAGCCGAAUAUUUCGCAUUCAUCUGGGUUUUCCACGAAGAAUUUCCCGCGGAUUACGCAGCAAGCGUUGGGAUUUUUCUUUGCGGAAACCCUUUCCAGGUAGAAAAUCAUGCUUUCCAAAUAUAUAUAGUAUAUAGUAUAAAGUUGUUUGUUUAUAAUUAAAAUUGCCUGGAUAUUCAAACGUUGUAAAAGUUAAAAAUUUCCUACGAAACACUUUCUCCUAUGGAAAUCCUUCCGUCAUAAAUGUCAAGGAUCCAGUUUGUUGAAACCGAUGAAUUUAAAUAAAUCCGCUUGAUUCGGCAAUGAAAA